rnacentral:rRNA from 1 species
AGAGUUUGAUCCUGGCUCAGGAUGAACGCUAGCUACAGGCUUAACACAUGCAAGUCGAGGGGCAGCAUGGUCUUAGCUUGCUAAGGCCGAUGGCGACCGGCGCACGGGUGAGUAACGCGUAUCCAACCUGCCUUACACUCUUGGACAGCCUUCUGAAAGGGAGAUUAAUACAAGAUGUUAUCAUGAGUAAGCAUUUUCGCAUGAUUAAAGGUUUACCGGUGUAAGAUGGGGAUGCGUUCAUUAGAUAGUAGGCGGGGUAACGGCCACCUAGUCUUCGAUGGAUAGGGGUUCUGAGAGGAAGGUCCCCCANAUUGGAACUGAGCACGGUCCAAACUCCUACGGGAGCA